GACGAACGCUGGCGGCGUGCUUAACACAUGCAAGUCGAACGCUGAAGCACCAGCUUGCUGGUGUGGAUGAGUGGCGAACGGGUGAGUAAUACGUGAGUAACCUGCCCUUGACUCUGGGAUAAGCCCGGGAAACUGGGUCUAAUACUGGAUGCUACAUGUCACCGCAUGGUGGUGUGUGGAAAGGGUUUACUGGUCUUGGAUGGGCUCACGGCCUAUCAGCUUGUUGGUGAGGUAAUGGCUCACCAAGGCGACGACGGGUAGCCGGCCUGAGAGGGUGACCGGGCACAAUGGGACUGAGACACGGCCCAGACUCCUACGGGAGGCAGCAGUGGGGAAUAUUGCACAAUGGGCGAAAGCCUGAUGACGCGACGCCGCGUGAGGGAUGACGGCCUUCGGGUUGUAAACCUGUUUCAGCAGGGAAGAAGCCACAAGUGACGGUACCUGCAGAAGAAGCGCCGGCUAACUACGUG
rnacentral:rRNA from 1 species